rnacentral:rRNA from 1 species
CAUUCUGUAGCAAUACAGGGUGUGGGCGCGUGGCUAACGGGUGCGUAACACGUGGAUAACCUUCCUUGAGGUGGGGAAUAACCCAGUGAAAAUUGGGCUAAUACCGCAUAACAUCGCGAUGGCACAUGCUGAUGCGAUCAAAGGCGCAAGUCGCCACAAGAGGGAUCCGCGGCCGAUUAGCUUGUUGGCGAGGUAAUGGCUCACCAAGGCAAUGAUCGGUAGCCGGACUGAGAGGUUGGCCGGCCACACUGGAACUGAGACACGGUCCAGACUCCUACGGGAGGCAGCAGUGGGGAAUCUUGCACAAUGGACGAAAGUCUGAUGCAGCAACGCCGCGUGGGGGAUGAAGCUUCUCGGAGUGUAAACCCCUUUCGACCCGGAAGAAUGCCCGCAAGGGUAUGACGGUACGGGUAUAAGAAGCCCCGGCUAACUACGUGCCAGCAGCCGCGGUAAUACGUAGGGGGCCAGCGUUGCUCGGAAUUACUGGGCGUAAAGGGUCCGUAGGCGGUGUAGCAAGUCGAUAGUGAAAUCUCUGGGCUUAACCCAGAGGCUGCUAACGAAACUGCUGUGCUAGAGUGUGAGAGAGGCGAGUGGAAUUACGGGUGUAGCGGUGAAAUGCGUAGAUAUCCGUAGGAACAUCCGAGGCGAAGGCGGCUCGCUGGAUCACAACUGACGCUGAGGGACGAAAGCUAGGGGAGCAAACAGGAUUAGAUACCCUGGUAGUCCUAGCCCUAAACCAUCAGGACUUGGGGUUUGCCCUGUACGGGGCAAGUCCCGUAGCUAACGCGUUAAGUCCUGCGCCUGGGGAGUACGGUCGCAAGGCUGAAACUC